GUGAGCCAGGUCAUCGAUGUGAGGUCGGAUGAGGGGCGUCCAAGGAGGUCCAGCCGUGCACUGCCAUGCGUGUGGCUCAGGAAUCGCAAGCCGAGCUGCUGGCUGUAAACCCUUUGAAGGCCGCACAACGACGUGAACUCAUCAUUUAUGCAUGUGGCUCGAUCUACGGGGGUACAACUUGUGUUGCGCGCUGUGGGUUUACGCAGCGCUAUUGGACGCUUCCGGCACCUGUGAUGAAAGCCGCAUCGCUGGCAACCCCCACUUCGCUGUGCUCUGCCCCUCUCCACCCCCAGGCCUCUGGCGAGAUGGGCGAUAUCACCGGUCUCUUCAUGGUGGACGAUGAGGGCACCCUGAGCACUACGGACGUGAAGGCAAAGUUCAUCAACGGCAAGCCCCAGGCGAUUGAGGCCAAGUUCAACAUGCGCUCUCAGUUCGAGUGGGAUCGCUU
rnacentral:lncRNA from 1 species